UACGGGGGGGGCAAGCGUUGUUCGGAAUUACUGGGCGUAAAGGGCGCGUAGGCGGCCUGCUAAGUCGGACGUUAAAUCCCUCGGCUCAACCGGGGAACUGCGUCCGAUACUGGUGGGCUCGAAUCCGGGAGAGGGAUGUGGAAUUCCAGGUGUAGCGGUGAAAUGCGUAGAUAUCAGGAGGAACACCGGUGGCGAAGGCGGGUCUCUGGGCCGAUACUGACGCUGAGGAGCGAAAGCAUGGGUAGCGAACAGG
rnacentral:rRNA from 1 species